rnacentral:rRNA from 1 species
CCUUUGACGUUAGCGGCGGACGGGUGAGUAACACGUGGGUAACCUACCUAUAAGACUGGGAUAACUUCGGGAAACCGGAGCUAAUACCGGAUAAUAUUUCGAACCGCAUGGUUCGAUAGUGAAAGGUGGUUUUGCUAUCACUUAUAGAUGGACCCGCGCCGUAUUAGCUAGUUGGUAAGGUAAUGGCUUACCAAGGCGACGAUACGUAGCCGACCUGAGAGGGUGAUCGGCCACACUGGAACUGAGACACGGUCCAGACUCCUACGGGAGGCAGCAGAC